rnacentral:rRNA from 1 species
CCUGCCCAAGAGAUCGGGAUAACACCUGGAAACAGAUGCUAAUACCGGAUAACAACAGAUGAUGCCUAUCAAACUGUUUUAAAAAGAUGGGUUCUGCUAUCACUCUUGGAUGGACCUGCGGUGCAUUAGCUAGUUGGUAGGGUAACGGCCUACCAAGGCGAUGAUGCAUAGCCGAGUUGAGAGACUGAUCGGCCACAUUGGGACUGAGACACGGCCCAAACUCCUACGGGAGGCAGCAGCC